rnacentral:rRNA from 1 species
AUACGGAGGAUCCGAGCGUUAUCCGGAUUUAUUGGGUUUAAAGGGUGCGCAGGCGGGAGAUUAAGUCGGCGGUGAAAUUUUGCAGCUUAACUGUAAAAGUGCCUUCGAAACUGGUUUCCUUGAGUGUAGAUGAAGUAGGCGGAAUUUGUGGUGUAGCGGUGAAAUGCAUAGAUAUCACGAGGAACUCCGAUUGCGCAGGCAGCUUACUAAACUACUACUGACGCUCAGGCACGAAGGCGUGGGGAUCAAACAGGAUUAGAUACCCUGGUAGUCCACGCAGUAAACGAUGAUUACUCGCUGUUUGCGAUAUACAGUAAGCGGCUUAGCGAAAGCGUUAAGUAAUCCACCUGGGGAGUACGUUCGCAAGAAUGAAACUCAAAUGAAUUGACGGG